GACGGAGGGUGCUAGCGUUGUUCGGAAUCACUGGGCGUAAAGGGCGCGUAGGCGGCCGCCCGCGUCGGACGUGAAAGCCCGGGGCUCAACCCCGGAACGGCGUCCGAUACGGGGCGGCUCGAGGCCGGGAGAGGGGGGUGGAAUACCCAGUGUAGAGGUGAAAUUCGUAGAUAUUGGGUGGAACAUCUGCGGCGAAGGCGGCUUCCUGGCUCAUUACUGACGUUCAGGUACGAAAGCGUGGGUAGCAAACAGG
rnacentral:rRNA from 1 species